GGACUGCUGAAGAGUCUCAUAAUAGGACGAAACGGCCGUCUAGAGC
rfam:Schistosoma rodhaini strain Burundi genome assembly, scaffold: SROB_scaffold0000318